CUAUGUCUAGGUGUGUUAGAGUUCCCUAAGGACCUCAAAGAUCCCGGGAAGUGCUCAUACCUAGACCUUUCUCAAAUAAUAACUGAUUUAGGUGUAGUGCAGAAAUGCCAUCCCUGACAUGCCAGAGUUCAGAGAGAUCUCAAGGGUCUCAAGGCAGUACACACAUAAGAGGGGCAGGACCUAGUAUUCUAAGAGUAAGUGGAAGUACAUAAUGGUUUGAAAGAGUUUAAUAGAAAGGUUUUAGGACUGAAAAGAACUUCUGAAAACCAUUAGUGAUAAAAUAGUUUGAGGGAAAGUGUAAAGAAACAAUUUUUCAAUCAGAACACAAUAUAGAAAACUAACAAACUUUAGGAAAUAAUUUUGGCAAGCAGAUGUCACACAAGGGAAAGGGGAUUGGGAACAUAGAGAGUACACCUUAAUGGAGCACAUAGUCAGCAAGAUACAUAGAGUUUUGAGGGGGUUCUAUAGAACUAGUGGGUGGAAUGCAUGGCAUGUAGCAAAGAUCACAACAGAAACACGUUGAAGCCAUUCUAGGGAGAGUAAUUAACUUAGCAUGAGUGAGGCAGAAUAGGCAAAGACAGGUGAGGGCAUGCUAAUUACACAAAGGAAGAGUCUAAGCAUGCUCUAUAAAUAGAACUCAGUCAAACAGGCCAGUUACAUAUGUAGACAUGUCAAAUAAAAUAACAAACAAACAAGUAGAGUGGAAACAUGCUAGUCAUAGAUUUGAAUAGGCAGUAUUAGGCAUGCUGGGUAAGCAAUAAACAGGAGCAAGAAUAAACUCAGGCCAUAUGAACUAAAGCAGUAAGUAAACACAUAGGUUUUGAUUCUUAAAAUUAAUCAUAGGCAUACCUAGUUAAAGAAAGAAAACAAAAGAUUGUGAGGAAGGUAUUGUGCAGUUUCUAGCCUUGGAUUGAAGCCGACUGGAAUAGCAGGGAUCACAAGUAUCAAAGAGAGCAGAAAGAGAGCCUUUUUAGGGUGUAAAAAGUAGUAGUUUUGAACUAGUGUCCGUGUCAGAAGUGAGAAUAGGAAAGAGUUUAUAUAGAAAUCAAGAGUUAAACAAAAUAAGGUAAGAGAUCAAUUAAGUAUCAAUUAGGAAAAUUCAUGGAAUCAAUCGCAUGUAAAAUCAGUAAGUUUUCCCUUUAAUCAAGGGAUAAUGAAUAAAUGGUAAGAGCAUGAUAGGUAUUUAAGGAAAGGAAUUAAGUAAAGUUUGGAUAUAGAGUAGGUAAUUAGGGGUAAAUGAACAUAAGUUUCAAUUAAGGAAACAAUCAAUAAGAAUCAGCUAAUAACAAAUAUGGCAAGGGAAAAUCAAUUAAGGCAAGAAGUUCAAUCAAACCGAGUAGAGAGGUAAGAAUCAAAAGUUUUGUUAAGGAAAAAAGUUCAAAUCAAACCAGGAAAUAAGAGAUUUAGAAUAGUCAAGGGUUCAAUCAAAGAGAAAAUCAUGUAAAGAGUCAGCAAGUUUUGCAAACAAAAUAAGGUAUGAAAUGAAUAGUCGGGAUUCGACAUGAGACAAAUUGGUAAAUCAAGAAAACGACAUUGAUUUAAGGAGGAAGAUAUAGGUCUUAACAUGAAUAGUCAGAAUGAACAUAAACAUAUAGAAUCAGUAAAAGAGUUGAACUAAGAAACUCAGUAGAGGUAUAUUAGGAUAAGGAAACCAUGAGACAUUCAAAUGGCUAAAGAGAAAUCACAAGAACCAAGGCAAGAACACAGUCAAUACACCAGUACUUAGAAACCAAACAAAGAAUGUCAAAAAUAUUAGGGCUUUUAGUAUAAAAGAGGUAAGGUUAGAACAAACCUUACGAAAUCAGUCAAGACAUAUAUGAAGCAUAAGAUCAAACACUCAGAACAAUCAAACAUUUUUGAAAAAGAAAUUUUCGAGAAACCCUAGUUUAGAAAAAUGGGAAACCAUUCGAAAAUCAGAAGAUCCUUGUAAAAAUUAGAAGGUUUUUUGUAAAAAAUCAUAUGAAAUAGGUUCAAACAUCUCAGAUCUGAACAGAUCUAAGAAGUUCAGAAGAAAGAGAUUUGGGUUUCGAGAAGAACAAUCACGGAGAUGAAGAAGCAAACCUAGAAACCCAUGAUAUAGGAAUAUCUCACUUGGAAUCGAACUAGGACAGUCUGAAACAAGUGAGAAAUGGCCAUAGAUGCAAGCAAACUAACCCUGGUCCCUUGAGGACCCUGGAGAUGGUGAUACCAGUACAAGAGAGGCUACUAGAGGCUUGGGGGUGGUGAGUAAUCACCAUAUAUAUCCAUAAAUGAGCGAAGACGAGGUCCGAUUAGGGUUAGGUUUGAGAGCAUUUGAGAGAGGAGAGGAAUUUCAGGGCGGCGGACGGUGGAAAAUGAAAGGGUUUGGGGGGUCGUUUGGGACUAAAAAAGGAAGGGGUUGAUUGUGGUCGUUGAUCUCUAUGAUCAACGGCCGAGUUUAAAAGGGUUUGGGGCUGGAUCGGGUAUUAGGGUUUGGGUUGGGUAAGUUUAAAUUGAAAUUGGGCUGGUGUUGGGUUGAAUUAGGACCAAAAUUGAAAUACAAAUAGGCCAGAUUUUAAAUAGCCACUUUUAAUAACUACAUAAUUUAUAAAAAAUAAUAAAUGAGUUCCAAAAAGAUAUUUCGUGUAGUAAAAUGAUUUAAAAUAUUAUUUAAUAUUUUAAAAAUAUAAAAGACCAUUUUAUGCAUAAAUAAUGUAAUUAUACAUUAGUAAGGGCUAUUAUUGCAAAUAUGUGCAAUUUAGCUUAAAAAUGUACAAAAAAUGCACAAAAAUAUUUAAACACUAUGUUGGCAUGAAUAAUGAAUUUGGAUGGCUAAAUCAUCACAAAAGUAAUUUGAAGGAUAAUUAUUAGAUAUUUAUAUAAUAAAAAAAGGAGAAAUAAAUUGAUUUGGAGCUUUUAAAACUGUAGAAAAAUUAUAAAACAAAUACUUAUGCAUGCUUAUAACUGCAUAUGUACUAUUUUGAAAGUAUAUAUAUGUGCUUAAAAUAUGUGAGGAAAAAUUGGAUAUCAAUAGGGAGGGCAUAGAAACGGGCCUGACCACCACCUGAUCAUCCUCCCCCUCUAGGGCGACUCCUGGCUGACUGACCUCCACACUGAACUGACUGAGCGGGCGAGGAUGUAACUGGUGCUAAAGUCGAAGGAUGACUCCUCUGCUGAGAUGAACCUCCCGUGAGACAGGGACAAAACCUCUUAAUAUGACUCAAAUCUCCACACUCGAAGCAACCUCUCCCGGCAAAUGGCAGUGGGGACUAAAGGGAGCCCCGAACACCGGGAUGCCCACUAGAAGAACCUGGCAUAGAUGAGCCCUAAACUGAUGGUGCCUGAGUCGAACUCUGAGCUGGAAGGGCACUGAGAGAUGAGUGGCCGUGAUGUGAAUUGUGAGAACUGUGGCCAGAUGAUCCACCACGGUGGCCCGAACGAGCUGGCUGAGCAUGUCUGAAUGGACGACCUCUACCGUGCUGAGACUGACCUUCCAAACGAACACUCCCAAAACUACCAUAUCCCCGAGGCCUCUUGGCCUCCCUCUCAACUCGCUCCUGGCGGCAAACUGACACUAUCUCUCGAGCAAUGUCAACCACUUCCUCAAAAGAAUCACCAGACACCCUUUCUCUGGUCACAAGAAUCCAUAGCUGAUAAGUGAGGCCAUCCACGAAUCUCCUGAUCCUCUCCCUGUCUGUAGGAACCAACCAAAUAACAUGACGGGCUAACUCAGAAAACCUCAUCUCAUAUUGCGUCAUAGUCAUAUAAUCUUAACGCAACUGCUCGAACUAUCUGCGCAGCUCCUCUCUACGAGAUUGCAGUACAUACUUCUCCAGGAAGAGAGUGGAGAAUUUCUGCCAGGUAAGGGGUGCUGCACCAAUAGGCCUACGCCUCUCAUAAGCCUCCCGCUAAGUAAAUGCAGCUCCAGAAAACUGAAAAGUAGUAAAUGAGACCCCACUAUUCUCCAGAAUACUCGCGGUACGUAACAUCCUCUGACACUUGUCCAAGUAACCCUGGGCAUCCUCGCCAUCUACACCACUGAAAGUCGGAGGCUGAAGUCUACCAAACCUCUCCAAUCGAUGCAGCUCGUCAUCAGGCAUAACUGGAACCACAUAAUCCUGAGCAGGUGCAACCGGCUGGGCUGGUGGUGCCUCUGGUGUCUGGAGUCCCUGCACAACCUGCUCAGGUGUAAAAGCGGUGGUAGUCUGAGUGCCUCCCCCAAUCUGAGAAGUAGCAAUUGUAGUAGUAACUGCGACCGCCUAAGCAAGACUGGUGCACACGGUCAGAAUCUGAGUCAAGGUCUCCUAGAGACCCGAAAUAACAAUAGGCAUAGUCGGUGCCUGAACUGGUACUGUUGGAGCAUCCCCCGCUAGAGCCUGAUCAUGAACUGGGGCGGCUGGUGGAUCUGCAGGUGCCGCCCUAGCUACUGUACGGGAUACACCCCUUCCCCUACCACGGCCUCGACCGCGACCUCGACCUUUAGUGGCCCCAACUGGUGGUACUGGUGGUCGUCCGUCCUGACCGGUAGCACAUGUCCUCACUAUCGGUUAGAGAAUAGAAUAACAGAAUUUAGUAUUAGAAUCAACAAAUUCAUACAACAAGAAUUCAAGAAUGUGAAGUUUUUCCUAAAGCUUCUGUAGCCUCCCGAAGAUAAGUACAGACGUCUCUGUACCGAUCCACGAGACUCUACUAAACCUGUUCAUGACCCGUGAGACCUAUGUAACCAAGGCUCUAAUACCAACUUGUCACGACCCCAAAACGAGUCGGUCGUGAUGGCGACUAUCGUGAAACUAGGCCAGCCAACUCAUUUCCAAAACAAACUACAUUUUCAUUUAAAACAUGAGAAAAACCAUUUUUCAACAUAAAUCCGAUAAAGAUAUAAAAAUCCAGUUUAACAAAGUGGAAAAAAUACAAGCCCGACCUCGGGUGUCACUAAGUCAUGAGAAAAAAAACUACAACUGUUCGAAAUAAACAAGACUAACAUAGUCUGAGAAUAUCCAAGAAAUACACUAAGAGGAAGAUAAGGAAGGAGAAGGCGAAACUACGAUCGCCAGGUAGAUACCUCGCUAUCUCCAAGGAAAGUCUACAACUGAUAUGAUCAGCAACCCGCUACCAUAGCCCGAGAUACCUAGAUAUGCACACAAGGUGCAGGGGGUAACGUGAGUACACCAACUCAGUAAGUAAUAAGUCCAAACUAUUGACUGACAGGUAGUGACGAGCCAAACCUCAAUAGGUAAUACAAUUAACUGUACAGAAAGUAGACAUGCUUGCAGUUCAAGUAAAAACUCAACAGUAAAUAAUACAGUCUGAACAAUACGGAGUAUAAAACUCAGGAAAAUCUCUAUGAACCAAUGCACAGAUAGCAUGAUCAAUGUUCCGUGUACCUCCACUCACAAGUGCUAAACCACUCAGUACUAUAUAUGGCAUGUUAUCCAUCCCGGAAUAUAUAUAUAUUACUGACCGCAGUCAUCCAUUAAUGAGGAAGGCCAUUCCAUCCCUAUAGAGAAGAUCCAUCUCCAGGUAUAAAUACUUCGGAGAAGAUCCAUGUCCAGGGAAGAUCCAUCCCUCAAUAUCAUCAACUGCGUUCACUGGGGGUGUGUUACAGACUCUGGAGGGGCUCAUAUAGCCCAAGUGCUAUCAUAAUCAUCAACCUAACUGCUGCGGCAUGUAGCCCGAUCCCAUAUACUGUCACUCACAACCAAUCUCUCGGCCUCACUCAGUCAUCACUCUCCAGUCUCACACACACAGGCUCACAAUGUCAUGAUACUAGCCCAAACAAUGAUAUGAUUUGCCAAAUAACAAUAAUCGGACUGAGGCAUGAUAUAUAAUGCAUGAAUAAGGCUGAGUACAUAAUGUCAAUGAAGAUAAUGAUAUGACAACAAGAAAUGACCUCUCAGGUCUCAAUAGUAUCGGCAUGAAGCCCUAAUAGGAUAUCUAGCAUGUUUUCACAGCAUAUUUACUAAAUCACAUGAUAGAAACACGGAUAUCAACAAGAAAGAGUUACUAAGCGGAGCCAUGGAAUGAUCCAUGCCACAUUUCGCAUGGUGCAGGCCCACACGCCCGUCACUUGGCAUUUGCGUCACCUCAAUAGUAAUCAUAGAACAUAGAGUUCAGGGUUUCGAACCCUUAGAACCAAGUUUGGAAAUGUUACUUACCUCAAGUCAAGCCAAACUCUAGCCCGCGAUGCCCUUGCCUCUCGAUUCGGCCUACAAAUGCUCGCAAUCAAACCAAAAUCAAAACCAUAACAUCAACAUAUGCUAAGGGAACAAAACCCAUGCAAAAAUAAUCAAAUUACAUAAAAAAUCUUGAAAUUCCUCAAACCCGACCCCCGGGCCCACAUCUCGGAAUUCGAUAAAAAUCAAAUCAAUAGAAUCCUUAUCCUCCCACGAGUUCAUACAUAUCAAGAACAUCAAAAUCGGGCCACAAAUGGCCCCUUAAAUCCCCAAUUUACACUCUCCAAUUUCAAGCCCUAAUUCCCCAAUUUUUUGCUUUAAAUCCCACUAAUUUUAUGUCUAAUUAGUUAGAAAUCACCAUAGAAUCGAGUAUUGAGUUCAAAAACCUUACCUUCAAGUGUUUUUCUUCGAAUCCCUCUUCAACCCCUCUCAGAAAUCUUCAAAACCGUCCAACAAUGGUGAGAAAAUGGCCUAAAAGUCGCGAAGAUGGCUUUAUAUACAUUCUGCCCAGGUGAUUUUCCUUAAUCGCGAUCGCGGAAAGACCAUCGCGAUCGUGAAGAACAAAUUUUGCUGGCUCCAGAAAUAACUCUACGCGAACGCGAUAUUCUACCCCUUACACCUAUGUGAUCGCGGACCACUAAACGCUUUCGCGAACAACAAAUGUGUGGCCCCAGCUUUGGUCCACUUAACCUUAUGCGAACGUGACUUAACCCACGCGUUCGCGAUGCUUCACCUGAUCAACUAUCGCGAUCGUAGCCCUUAAUAUAUGAACGCAAAGAACAAACUUGACUGCCUACACAAAUUCUAUACGCAAUCGCGAGCCUCCUCACGUGACCGCGAAGAAGGAACCUCUACAACAGAAUAGAAGAAAAAAAUCUGCAACUCUCAAAACUACGAACUUGGUCCGAUAACCUCCCGAAACUCACCCAAGGCCCUCGGGACCUCAAUCAAACAUGAAAACACAUCCCAUAACAUCAUUCAAACUUAGACAAGCCUUCGAAUCACUCAAAACAACACUAAAACACCAAAUCAACCUCGGAUUCAAGCCUAAAAACUUAGAAACUGUCAAAUUCCACAAACGACGCCGAAACCUAUCAAAUCAACUACGAAUGACCUGAUAUUUUGCACGCACAUCACAAAUGACACUACGAACCUACUCCAAUUUCCGGAAUCCCAUUCCGACCCCGAUAUCAAGAUUUUCACUACCAACCGGAAAACGCUAAAAUUUUAAUUUCGCCAAUUCAAGCCUAAAUCCACCACGGACCUCCAAAUUACAUUCCGGACACGCUCCUAAGUCCCAUAACACUACAAAACUACGCCCAGCCCGAACCAAUCAACACGAUACGAUGAAAUGUAGCUAAACAAUACAUAAGAAAGUAAAACUGGGGGAAACAGAGCGGUAACUCAUGAAACGACUGGCCGGGUCGUUACAAUCCUAAUGCUUCUUACCUGCUAUGUGUGCAUUUAUUUAUUUUGUCUUGUUUGUUGACCAGCUAAGGAAAUAAAAUCAACAAAAAAACUAAGAGUGAGGUAGGAUAGAAAUUUCACCCGGUUCUGAAAACUCUGUCAUUUGAAGAUGCCUCGAAACUCUGCCAAAAUUAUUGGAAAAAAAACGAGAAAAAGAAAGUGUAUUUCAAAAAAAAAUUUAGUCAAUAUCAUGUUUUUCCAGUUAUGUCAAAGUUGGCCGAACUACGCUGGUCUGAUUCUCACUGGAUGUGAGAUACGUAGGCAAACUUCAUCGGUUCCGGCUCCCAAUUUUCAAAAAUCCAAAACAAAAUUUUCCUUUAAUUCCUUCUUUAGAAGUCUUUCUUUAGAAAAUCACGAAUAAAAAAAAUUUAAAACCAAAAAUAUUUUCUUUCAUUUUAGAAGUCUUUCAUUCGAAAAGAAAAUCAAAUCAAAAAAAAUAUUUUCUACCUUUUUUUAGAAGUCUUUUUUCCAAAAAUAAAAAAAAAACAAAAAAAUCAAAAAUCCAAAAAAUAUUUUAUUUCUUUCAAAAAAUUCCAAAACAAAACCUAAAUCAAAAAUCCAAAAAUAUUUUCAUUAUUCUUUCGAAAAUUGAAAAGAAAAUUCAAAAUUCAAAAAUGUUUCCUUUUUUCUUUAGAAGUAUUUCUUUCAUAAAUUUAAAAUAAAAGUCCAAAAAUCCAAAAAUAUUUCCUUUCUUCUUUAGAAGUUUUUCUUUCAAAAUCUCAAAAAAAAUUCAAAAUUAAAAAAAAUGAAAAAUAUUUUCUUUCUUCUUUAGAAGUCUUUCUUUUCAAAAAUUCUCAAAAAAAAAACAUCUAAAUCCAAAAAUAUUUUCUUUCUUCUUUCUAAGUCUUUCUUCCGAAAAUUAAAAAGACAAAAAAAAUGCAAAAUCCAAAAAAAAGAGUUAGUUUAUUUACUUUAUUUCUGAUUUUCCCGAACUAUGCAAGAUCUGAUUCAUGUUCCCACAUGAUACGUAGGCAACCUAUAUCAGGUUCGAUCGAAUCAUUUAAAAAAAAUAAAAAAAAGAGAGAAAAAGGGAAGAAAAUUUCUUAAAAAACAAGAGAGUGACCAUUCUAACAUGUUGUUUGUUUUGAAUUGUGAAGAAAGUUUGAGGUAGUUGGUUUGUGGUAAACUGCAACACAUCCAUAAUUCACAAGGUCCAAGAGAAAAAUGUCAACGAGAACUGAUAUUGAAGUUGUUACGAGCGGUCAAGAGAUUCGGGGUCAGAGGGUUCAACAAGAGUCUACUGUGGUUGAGGAAAAUAGAGUACUGAAGCAGAAAAUGAAUGAAAUGUGUCAAGCAUGGGCCAAUGGCCAAGGACUACCCCUUUCUAUUCAUGGUUUUCCAGAGUUCACAUCCAUCUCAACUACUACCACUCCAGUUUCCUUGUCUAAUCAAUUCUAUCCAUCUGGGUUCAGUCUUUAUCCAACUAUACGACUAUAGUUGAAACUUUUGUUGUGUGCUCCCAAAGUAUGCCAUUGAUAACUAAUCAGACAGCCACUUGCUAUUAUGCCCGUCUUCACUAUCCCACAGCCAACGGUGGUGCAGAAGAAAGCUCAUGAGUCACAAUUUGCUACCCAACAAGAACAAUACCACUCUCCUGAGUACCACUCCUGCCUAUUUGAUCUUCCUACAAAGAUUUAUAAGCCUUCCCGAAAGAUGGCACAUGAAGAAAUGACCCAAAGAGUGAAAAGCUUAGAACAAUAGUUCAAAAACAUGCAAGGGUUGGUAGGUCAGAAGAGUAUUGCCUUCAAGGAUCUAUGUAUAUUACCCGAUGUUCGUCUGCCAUUUGGUUUCAAGACUCCAAAAUUUAAAAAGUAUGAUGGACAUGGAGACCCCAUAGACUAUUUGAAAAGGUAUUGGAAUCAGUUAAGAGGUGCGGGAGGAAAUGAAGAAUUACUAAUGGCUUAUUUUGGGAAAAGCCUUACGAGGGUAGCCUCUGAAUGGUUUAUUGAUCAAGACACUUCUCAAUGGCAUGUCUGGAUGACAUGGACUGGGCCUUUGUCAGACAGUUCCAAUAUAACAUCGACAUCGACCCAAACCGUAAUUCCCUUUCAAACCUAAAGAAGAAACCAACUGAAAGUUUUAGGGAAUAUGCCAUUAAAUGGAGAGAGCAAGCAGUUAGAGUUAAGCCACCCAUGGAUGACCACGAGAUCAUCACUGUCUUCCUUCAGGCUCAAGAGCCAGAUUAUUUUCAAAACAUGAUGUCUGCAGUAGGCAAAUCCUUCUCAGAAGCAAUCAAAAUUGGAGAAAUGGUUGAGAACGACCUUAAGACAUGCAGGAUUAUAAGUCAAGAAGUUCUCAAAGCCACAACUCAGGUUGUCCAGAUUGAAUCUGAUAAUUUUAGUGACACGAAUGAGAAGGAUGAAGAAACCAUGAUGACAUCAGGGUCGAGAAGAGGUCCCAAGAGAACAUCUCAAAGGGAUGAGCAGCCUCAUCAGGUUUCCGAUGAUUCCCCUGAGCACUACUAUCCACCUCAGAACCCCCAAUACUUUGUUGCUCUACCUCAGUAUGUUGUUCAGCCACCAAGACACCCCAGAAGGCGAGCACCAGUGCCGCAACAUCUCCACCAGCCUCCAAAAAAAUUUUCAAAUGCCCUAUAACCCACAUCCAAGCCAGGGGUAUAUAGGGGAACAAAGGUUGAAAGAUAAUUUUACACCAAUAGGGGAGUCCUAUGCAAGCUUAUUUAAGAAAUUACAUCAGUAUGGCAUGAUUGCACCCAUUCCUUCAAGUUAUGUCGACCCACGUGCAAGAAGCUUUGACCUUUCUAAAAAGUGUGAAUACCAUUCCAAUGCCCAGGGGAACGAUGUUGAAAGAAUUCGGGAUUUGAAAAGAGAAAUAGAAAGGAUGAUCCAGGAAAAACUAAUUGAAACUGGAGAAGGCCCUGGUGAUUUCUGAUGAGCAAUUUUGUGGCUAAAUUUCAAGCUUAGCAAUUGAAAAGUCAUUCCCUCCUCACCAGGAAGGAAUCUUGGUAGCUUGUUUUGAUGUUUUUUCUAUUAUCUGGGUUAUUUUAGGGUUGUGAUCGAGAUUUUAUUUAUUCUAUUAAGUCAAAUACUUCUAUCCCUCCAUUAUGUUUGUGUGAGUCUUGUCUGUUUGUUCUGUUGUUAUUUUCAUUAUCUGGGUUAUUUUAGGGGUGUAACUCGGAUUUUAGGUUGUUUGUCUUAUUGUUAAACCCUUCAAAUCAAUGUAAAUAUCGGCUUUGAGGAAGAACUAAUUGAAGUUUGGUGGAAAGUUUGAGAUUAAUGGACGGAAAAUGUUCUUCAACCACGACAUAGAGACAUACAUGCUCAUCAAUGUCGUGAUUUUGAAGGGCUAACAUGAUUGGUAUUCUCGAGGCUAGGAGGCCCUUUUUCUGCUACCCAAACACUUUAUACCCUUUGUUACCUCUUUUGAGCUUGUAUUAUUUUCUUUGACCACUCUCUUUUGGAAUCAAGUUUAGAGUAAAAAAAAAGGUCUAUGCUUCCAGUGUACAAACUAGGGCAACUUUUAGAAAGUUCAAACAAAAGAAGAAAAAAACGAAGAAGAAAAGAAUAGUCAAAGGUCCAUUCCCCCAGAAAAUAGAAGUUGGGGCAAUUUAUUUUGUAAAAAAGAAAGAAAAAAAGAAACAGAAAGAAAGAUGAAAAAAUAGUUUAGGUCAGAUGCUUGAACUACGUUUGACAUGAUUUCUUAAAAAAAGAUACGUAGGCAGCCUUAUACAGUUCGGUUAAACCAUAUAAGAAUUCAUAAAAAAAAUCAAUAUCUAAAACUGGGGCAUGAGUUUGUUUUAAUUUUUGAAAGAGUAGAUUCCAAGAGUUGUAAGUGUACAACCCAUCAUAUUGAGUCUACUUCGAGCCUUCAUGCCGUCCUUUCUUUCCAACCCUAUCCAAAAACCUUCCAAAUAAAGACCUCAUUAUCAGCCUCCAAGAAUACUAAGAGAUGCAUGCAAUGAGCAACAAUUGUCAUACGACAUAGAACACUGUCAAGUUGCUCACACAAGAAAAAAGAAGGGGAAAGAAAAAGAAAAAGAAAAAAAAAACAAGAGAGUCUUACAAGUGAAAACCCUCAUGGGCACUCGUAAGANNNNNNNNNNNNNNNNNNNNNNNNNNNNNNNNNNNNNNNNNNNNNNNNNNNNNNNNNNNNNNNNNNNNNNNNNNNNNNNNNNNNNNNNNNNNNNNNNNNNNNNNNNNNNNNNNNNNNNNNNNNNNNNNNNNNNNNNNNNNNNNNNNNNNNNNNNNNNNNNNNNNNNNNNNNNNNNNNNNNNNNNNNNNNNNNNNNNNNNNNNNNNNNNNNNNNNNNNNNNNNNNNNNNNNNNNNNNNNNNNNNNNNNNNNNNNNNNNNNNNNNNNNNNNNNNNNNNNNNNNNNNNNNNNNNNNNNNNNNNNNNNNNNNNNNNNNNNNNNNNNNNNNNNNNNNNNNNNNNNNNNNNNNNNNNNNNNNNNNNNNNNNNNNNNNNNNNNNNNNNNNNNNNNNNNNNNNNNNNNNNNNNNNNNNNNNNNNNNNNNNNNNNNNNNNNNNNNNNNNNNNNNNNNNNNNNNNNNNNNNNNNNNNNNNNNNNNNNNNNNNNNNNNNNNNNNNNNNNNNNNNNNNNNNNNNNNNNNNNNNNNNNNNNNNNNNNNNNNNNNNNNNNNNNNNNNNNNNNNNNNNNNNNNNNNNNNNNNNNNNNNNNNNNNNNNNNNNNNNNNNNNNNNNNNNNNNNNNNNNNNNNNNNNNNNNNNNNNNNNNNNNNNNNNNNNNNNNNNNNNNNNNNNNNNNNNNNNNNNNNNNNNNNNNNNNNNNNNNNNNNNNNNNNNNNNNNNNNNNNNNNNNNNNNNNNNNNNNNNNNNNNNNNNNNNNNNNNNNNNNNNNNNNNNNNNNNNNNNNNNNNNNNNNNNNNNNNNNNNNNNNNNNNNNNNNNNNNNNNNNNNNNNNNNNNNNNNNNNNNNNNNNNNNNNNNNNNNNNNNNNNNNNNNNNNNNNNNNNNNNNNNNNNNNNNNNNNNNNNNNNNNNNNNNNNNNNNNNNNNNNNNNNNNNNNNNNNNNNNNNNNNNNNNNNNNNNNNNNNNNNNNNNNNNNNNNNNNNNNNNNNNNNNNNNNNNNNNNNNNNNNNNNNNNNNNNNNNNNNNNNNNNNNNNNNNNNNNNNNNNNNNNCCAAAUAAAGACCUCAUUAUCAGCCUCCAAGAAUACUAAGAGAUGCAUGCAAUGAGCAACAAUUGUCAUACGACAUAGAACACUGUCAAGUUGCUCACACAAGAAAAAAGAGGGGAAAGAAAAAGAAAAAGAAAAAAAAAACAAGAGAGUCUUACAAGUGAAAACCCUCAUGGGCACUGUAAGACGACGGUAAAUAGAGAUAAAAUAAAUAAGAGAGACUCGUUGGUGAAAAUUCCUCGGGGCACCACUAGUCGAAAGUGAGUCGUAAAGCUGAUGUAAAGGAUUGGCACGAACAAGCCCGACUUCAAAUGUCAUAAGAAUAAUAAAAGGGAAGAUUGGAUCAGUUUGAUAGAUUAGGCGUUAAGUCCAAAAUGCAUGUCAUGAUCAUUAAGGCUAGUUAGUGCAAAAUUAAAAAACAAAAACAAAAACUCUUCCCUCUUUCCUUCAUAUCAGGGGAAUUUCUUACUGAUACUGUUUCUUUGUAUCAUUGUGUGCCUUCACUCUGAGUCCGUCCUUGUCAAAACAAGCAAGAAAAGAUUUCAAAAUCUGCUACCAGUUUUUUAGUUGCACAAAAUAAAUUUGGCCAGCAUACUCAGUUGUUACUGUCAAUAUGCCUUGAGGAUUCAUGCAAAGACUCCCCCAAAAGACUCUUGUCAGCCUGCUUCGCGCAAGAAAACAUAACUUAUGAUUCUCUCUGACAGACAAAUUGCUCAAAAAACAGGAAGUCAUUCAAGAUAUCAGAAAAGGUUACCUAAGCAAAGAUAUCCAGUUGGGAUAAGGCUGAUUGAGCCACAAAUACAAAUGGUACUGGGAGUGAAACAAUCAGGGUUAAUGCGGAAUAAAAGUCUAUUGAAAUCGACCCAAGCUGAUUGAGCAAAAGCCAAGCUACACAAGACUCAAGGCCACAAACUGCACAUCACUUUCAAAACUGACGAAAUUUUCUUUGUUUGAAACAACAAUAAAGCAGUGCAAGAAAAGUGGUUCAAAAAAGAAAAGAAGAGAAGAGAAGAGCCGACAAAGGGACGUUUCUCAAAUCUUUGCCUUUAUCUAUCUUGCUAGUGUGCAUAAACUUUUUCCAUUGCUCUUCACAUUUUUUCUCCUAGGAUAAAAGUCCUAGUCUGAUGGAUUUUCCUCCCAAUAGAAGUCUUAGAUUGAUGAAUCUUUCUCUUAAGAUUAAAAAAAACCUAGUCUGAUGAAUUUUUCUCCUAGGAUAAACGUCUUAGUCUGAUGAAUCUUUCUCCUAAGAUAAGAAACCUAGUCUGAUAAAUUUUCUCCUAGGAUAGAAGUCUUAGUCUGAUGAAUCUUUCUCCUAAGAUAACAAAAAAAACCCUAGUCUGAUGAAUAUUUCUCCUAGGAUAGAUGUCUUAGUCUGACGAAUUUUUCUCCUAAGAUAAGAAAACCUAGUCUGAUCAACUUUCUCAUAAGAUCAAAAUCUUGGUCUAAUAAAUAUUUCUCCUAAGAUAGAAAACCUAGUCUGAUGAAUUUUCUCCUAGGAUCAAAAUUUUAGUCUGAUGAAUCUUUCUCCUAAGAUAAAAAAAAGUCUGUUGAAUUUUCUCCUAGGAUAAAUGUCUUAGUUUGAUGAAUCUUUCUCCAAAGAUAAGAAACCUAAUCUGAUGAAUCUCUAUCCUAGGAUAGAAAUCUUAGUCUGAUGAAUCUUUCUCCUAAGAUAACAAAAAAAAGCCUAGUCUGAUGAAUUUUCUCCUAGGAUAGAAAUCUUAGUCUGAUGAAUCAUUCUCCUAAGACAGAAAACCUAGUUUGAUGAAUUCUCUCCUAGGAUAGAAAUCUUAGUCUAAUGUAUCUUUCUUCUGAGAUAAAAAAAAAAUAAGUCUGAUGAAUUUUCUCUUAGGAUAGAAAUCUUAGUUUGAUGAAUCUUUCUCCUAAGAUAGAAAACCUAGUCUGAUGAAUUUUCUCCUAUGAUAGAAAUCUUAGUCUGAUGAAUCUUUCUCCUAAGAUAAAAUAACCUAGUUUGACGAAUUUUCUCUUAGGAUAAUUAAGGGAAAAAAAGAGGAAGUCUGGAUUUAAAAAAAGUCAUUUGUUCAUGCCUCAGAAAAUAAGCGUUGGGCAAUUUGUUUAAAAGAAUGAUUUUCUCAAAAAAAAAAAAAAAAUCCUUCUUGGUUCAUUUUAGCAUAGGUAUACAAUUCAGUAGUCUUAUUUUCCAACAUAGAGUCUCCACUCCCUAGUUAAUUUUACUUUUAGACACAAGGUCUCCACUCCUUAGUCGCUUUUCCAAUAUAGGAUGUCCACUCCCUAGUUUUUAUUUUAGACAUAGGGUCUCCACUCCCUAAUCUUCUUUUUCAACAUAGGGUCUCCACUCCCUAGUUGAUAUUAUUUUAGACAUAGGGUCUCCAUUUCCCAGUCUCCUUUCCAACAUAGAAUCCCCACUCCCUAGUUUAUUUGAUCUUAAAUGCAGGGUACACCACUCCCUGAUAUCAUUGCCAAUAUAGGGUAUACCAUUCUCGGGCCACAUUUUCCCAACAUAAGAUUCAUCAAUCCUUAGUUGAGACAUCUUUUUGACAAUAAAAGAGCACCAUAAAAAUAUUAUCAUGAUCUUUUUGGGGUACACCAUCCCCAACCUUUUAUUGCUUUUAAUAAUGAAGUAGUAUGGAGUUUUGUUACAAAUUCACGAAUUUUUCCUAAGUGAAAACUGGGGCAGAGAAAUUUCAUUCGUUCGUUUGUUUUGGUGUCUGAGCAGGUUUUUAUCUCGAGGCACAAGGUUCUAGAUGACCAAAGAAAGAAGUCUCAAUCCAGAACAAAAGAAAAGAAAAAGAAACGAAUCCAAAAUGCAGAAGUAGAUGAAAGAUGUGAACUGCUCAAGACAUGGCUGAAGUCACGAGCAUUGUAUGUCCGGUUUUGAUCCAAAGAAGCCGGGGAAUAAUGAAUCAACACCCGCAGCUAGCAAACAUCAAGGUUCAAAUCAAAAAUCUACAUGAAGCACCAUUCAAGACUCAAGAUUAAGCUUCAGAAGACUUAUAGAUAGGAAUCUUGUAACUCAUAGCUAAUAGACUUGUUUAGUUCCUUUAGAUUUUGAUGUAAUAACAAGGCCACAGACCAGAGCCUUGACGGAACCUCACUUGACUCUGCAACUCAUUAUUCCAUUUUUCUCCUAAACCUACAGUGACCUGAUUUAUUUAUAGCCAAGGAUAUGUAGGCAACCUCCGAAACAAGGUUCGGUAAAACUUUCUCAAAGCGCUUCCAAUGGAGUAUCCAAACGGCCAAAAAUUGCUCGUAAUUUCUCACUUUAUCUUUGCCAAAAAUUCUUCAUGUUCUCGAGCAAAGAGGAGCAACUCUGAGCACCUAAUUUUUGCCCCACAUGGAAAUUACUCCUAAAAAAUAUUUAGUAAAUAAAUAGCCUAGCCACACAAAAAAUGGAAUUUAAAUUAAAUUUUAGUCUAAAGUGGCUAUAAGAAUGAGAAAAGAGGGCUGUCCAAAUUGGGCCAAAAUCAGUGGCCCAGUAUCUCAAAUUCCGCCCCAAACCUGCCAGCCUAUUCCAUCUGACCCGGACCGGCCCAACCCCCUCUUUAAAAACCUCACCUUGAGACCUAAUCAGAUUCCCCCUAUCUCCCUAACCCUAGCCGCAUCUCCUCCUUCUUGAAUCUCUCACACACACAGCAGCCACACAUAGAGAACAACUAGCCACCCCCACUCACCUCUCAAUACCCAGCAACCACCCUUCAACUCCUCCUCUCACCAAACCAUCAGCAGACCGCCACCAAACUGCCAGAAAUCCAGCAACCACAACGAACCAGUUUCACAUCUGCAAAAAACCAUUUUCAUCACCUUGAAAGCUUCCAAAAUCGUCCUCCCUCAAAGCACGUUGUUCCAGAUCUGGAAAUACCAUAAAUCACCUCAAGCUUCAGCUCUAAACCGGGCAAAAUCAACCAUGAAAUAGCUAGAGUUUAGAUCCUAAAAUAGUUCAAAGAAGCAGCGAAAAUACAGCUACGUCAUGCGACAAAAACGCAUCAGCUACUGCUUGAUUCUGCCUCAAAAAGCCCGGCCUCAAACCACCUGUAAGCCAACCGCAAACACAAACUCAACAGCCGGCUUUCACCAUCGUUAAAACGUAGUCGAAGUUUGAGGCCUGAAAGUCCGUUUAAGUCGAGGAUGUCGUUUGAGUUACUGGACCACUGGUUCUGUUUCUUCACUGUAAUUCCACGUUUGAAAUUAUUGAUUAAUGUGAAAGGAAAUUUUUCUCAUUAAGGUUCGUUUUUCUUAAUUUUCAUUCUGUUCUCAUCUCGUUACAGUAGCUUGAAGAGUGUUUGGCAUGACUUUUUAACUUUCUUUAUUUUAUUUUCUUUUCUUUCAAUUAGCAUAUCUUAGUUUCCAUUACGCACUUUAAUUAGUUUAUCUAUUUUGUGAUGUAUGUGACCUCUGUUCUUGAAUGAAUGUAUUAAAACUGUUAGAUGAAUUAACUUAGCAAGUCAGUGGUUCGUGCUAGAAUUUUUAAUGAGCUAAUGAAAUUUAUUUUUUAAUAAUAAGGAUACUUCCAUACUUCCAUCACUUGCAUUAGGGAAUUAGCAAAGAAGAGGCAAUCUAAUGUUAUGAAUGUACACUGACUAGGAUGCCUGUUGGCUUUGUACGAGAGUUUAAAGUUGGUUUAGAGGUGUUUUGGUAUUGGUUUGAACAAUAAAUUUAGAUUGGAUGAGAUUAACAAGAAUUAAAAAGUAUCUUUGGGUUAUUUGUUUAGUAGCUGCAUUGAAUGUGAUAGGAGCUUUAGGCACACCCUUAAUUAAUCGAAUAUUGUGGUUAUGUACACAGUCGCAUGACAUAAUUGUGAUUUUUCAAGUUAAAGGCAAAGUAUGUGCGCGCGCAACUUUUGUAAAUAAUCUUAGUAAUAAUAAUUUAUUAUUAAUUGUGUACACGUUCGCGUGGCAUGAGUACAAUUUAAAAAAUGAAUAUUCAUAGAAAAUGAGUUAGCGCGACUUAAUCCAUUGUCGCGAUUGUGUAUACAUAAUGCGUGAGAUAAUUGCGAUUUUUCAAAAUAAAUCAAGGUACGCGUUCGCGCGAUUUUUGCCAAGCUUUCUUAAAUAAUUAAGUGUUGUUAAUUGUGUAUACGUACGCGUGUCAUGAUUCUUGACACGCCAAACAAAAAGAGUAUACGUACGCGUGACUCAUUUUUCAAGAUAAUUCCAUAAUUACGAAUAAUCGAGUAAUUAGAAGCAGUAAAAGGUAAAAUGCACGUAGGUUCUAAAACACGUAAUCAAACAUUUUAAUUAAACCAUAUGUGGUUAAAGCGACCGUGCUAAAAUCACGGAAUCGAGGAAUUCUUAACUCCUUCUCCCGGUUAACAGAAUUCCUUACCCGGUCUUCUGGUUUUGCAGACUUUAAAACGGAGUUAAUUUUCCUCGAUUUGAGAUUUAAAAUAAAUCGGUGACUUGUGACACCGUAAAUUAUUCCAAGUGGUGACUCUGAAUUAAAUAAACAAUCCCAUUUCGAUUAAUGUCACUUUAAUAGAAAAACUCCAUAUGUCCAUGUGUGUGUGUGUGUGUGUGCACGCGCGCGCUACAUCCCCUCAAAAAAUUAGUCAAAACAAUCUAUUUUACGCUACUUACAAGCACAAGUAACUUGAGUCUAAAAGAAUAAAGUAUUCUACAUGGAGGAACAAAAAAGAUGACCAACCUACAAUUUUAACUUUGAACUUGCUGUUAUGAUGGAGAAUGGAGUUCUCUCUGUAUUUGUAAACAAAAAAUGAAUAUUUAUUGCUUUUGGGAGAUAUUAGUAGACUAGCAAACAAGAUAAAGAAUUGCAAAAGAUCAUGAAUUAUGUCUUCAAUCAAUAAAAAAGGUCCUGACUUUUAAAUUAAUACAUUUCAUUUCCUUUUAAAAUUUUUUGAGUAAUUACCGAGCUGACUUUUGAGAAUUUGGGUAUUAUAUGAAGGACUUAUUCAACAAAUUUUAUUUUAAUUUGAAAAAGUUGUUGGGGCUUACACCUCACUAAAAAAUGCGCCUCAAACGCCCCAACAUACGCCUCUUAAGACUUUUUCCCCACACUAUUGCCUCGGGGCAUUUUUGGUGCGCCUCGCCCCAGGGCUAUGGAGGCAGGGAUUAGUCUCAUGCGGAUGUGGAGGCAGGGAUUGGCCUCAUGCGAAUAUGGAGGCAGGGAUUAGCCUCAUGCAGAUAUGCGUGACGGGGCUUAGUCCCACGCAAAGAACGAGUUGCAAAUAAGUGUAGCAUAUUUCUUAGAUGGAGAUAUAUAUUCGGUGUCUGAUAGCCUGAUUGGUAGUGAUCUUGUUACGUGUAUACAUAUUUGCGAAAGCUAUCGCUAUGUCAGAUGUGACUGCACUCACAGAAAAAUUGUAAGUUUUGUGAGGUGGAGGUUGGUUCGUGCCUUUGUCCGCUGGCCUUGCUUGGCUUCAUUCUGGAGGCCUCGUUUGAGUUUCCCUAGGUAACACCUGACUGUUACGAAAAAUAGAGUUUUCGCAAAUAUGGAAUUAUUUAUAAAAAAUAGAGUUAUUUUAGAAACAUAUUGAAAUAUCAAGUAGUUUUAGAUGAACUAGUGACUGUAACGUAUUUCAGAGACAUUGCAGCUUCCUCAUAUUAGAAUUUUGAGGGUCCUCCUCAAAAUUCUGCCCGAGUUUCUUAACCAGUUUCUGACUGUCUUCUGGUGACAUCAGCUAGACUUGCUCCGGAAGGACCCUCAAAAUUCUGCCCCAGUUUCUGAUCUUGGGAAAAUGGAAAUUUUAUUAUGAUAUGACCGAACCCAUAGGACUUCCUACGUAUCCCCUCUUAAAUGGAAAUCAGGUCAAGCGUAGUUCAAUUACAUCAGAUGAGGAAAUGUAAAUAGUCUAAGCAUAGUAUCUCUUGACUGCAUCUAAAUUGAUUGGUUUUGGCAAGAUUUCUAUGUCCAUUUCUGCAAAUAUGAGUGUUCCUCCUGUUAGCACCCUGUGAACCAUGUAAAGACCUUUCCGGUUGGGUGAGAACUUCCCAUUGGCUUCAUCUUGAUGUGGGAAGAUCUUCUUCAGCACCAGUUAUCCGGGAGCAAAUUGUCUUGGUUUGACCCUUUUGUUGAAAGCUCUAGACAUUCUGUUCUGAUAAAGCUGACCGUGACAUACUGCGUUCAUUCUCUUUCCGUCUAUAAAGGCCAAUUGCUCAUAGCGGCUCCCUAUCCAUUCAGCAUCACUGAGUUCAGCCUCCUAUAUGAUCCUUAAAUAAGGAAUCUCUACCUUGGCUGGGAUGACAACUUUGGUACCAUAAACCAGUAUGUUGGGAGUUGCCCCAGUUGAUGUGCGGUAUCCCAACAAAGCAAAGNNNNNNNNNNNNNNNNNNNNNNNNNUUAGCCAAUCCCCCAAAUCCAGGGAGUUCCAUCCUAUACCAAGUUUCCUCCGCUGUGGAAGAAGUGAUUGGACAAUCUUCAGAGCAUGCGUUUCUGAGUGCGAUUUGCAUGCUCCAGAUAUUCUCCUUUUGCCAAAUACUCCUUGAUGUCAUGGAACCAAGGCUUUCCAUCUAUUUCCUCUUCAACAUAGGCACAAUACACCGACUGAUUAUGAAUUCUCACAGGGAUAGGAUCAAUGAAAUUCUUGUCCGGAUGUUGUAUCAUAGAUGACAAGGUGGCCAAUGCAUCGACAAACUCAUUCUAAAUUCUGGGCACAUGCCGGAACUUUAUCUUCGUGAACCUCUUUCUCAAUCCCUGUACAUGGUGCAGAUAUGGCAAUAUCUUGGAAUUCUUGGUGGCCGACUCUUCUUGUAUCUGGUGCCCAAGCAAAUCUGAAUCACCGAUUACUAGCAGCUCCUGAAUAUUCAUGUCGAUUGCCAUGUUGAGUCCUAGUAUGCAGGCUUCAAACUCUACCAUGUUGUUGGUGCAUGGAAAUUCGAGUUUAGAAGAUACCGGAUAAUGUUGACCUGUUUCUAAUACCAAAGCUGCUCCGAUGCCCCCUCUUUUGUAAUUUGUAGCUCCGUUGAAGAACAUCCUCCAACCGUCGUAUGUUUCGGUAAUAUCCUCUCCUACGAAUGACACCUCUUCAUCAGGAAAAUACGUUUUCAAGGGUUCGUAUUCUCGUCCCACCGGAUUUUCAGCAAGAUGAUCUGCCAAUGCUUGCCCUUUGACCGCCUUUUAAGUUACAUAGACGAUAUCGAACUCACUCAACAGUAUCUGCCACUUGGCUAGAUUCCCAGUUGGCAUGGGUUUCUGAAAUAUGUACUUCAGAGGGUCCAUCCUGGAUAUGAGGUAUGCGGUAUAGGCACAGAAGUAAUGCCUCAAGUUCUAGGUCAUCCAGGUCAAAGCACAACAAGUGCGUUCCAGUAGAGAGUAUCGUGCUUCAUAAGGUGUGAACUUCUUACUCAAGUAGUAUAUGACUUGCUCCUUUCUCCCCGUCUCAUCAUGUUGUCCCAGAUCACAUCCGAAGGCUCCAUACAAUACAGAUAAAUAGAGUAGCAAAGGCCGUCUCAGCUCUGGCGGGACCAAGACCGGUGGUGUGGAUAGGUACUUCUUGAUUUUAUCAAAAGCCUUCUGACAAUCCUCGGUCCAGCUUGUCUCAGCAUCUUUCCUCAACAUCUUUAAAAUGGGUUCACAUAUGACUGUGGACUGCACUAUGAAGCGACUAGUAUAGUUGAGACGUCCUAGAAAGCUCAUUACUUACUUUUUGCUACUAGGCGGCGGUAACUCCUGAAUGUCCUUAACUUUAGACGGGUCCAGCUCGAUCCCCUAGCGACUGACAAUGAAUCCUAGUAGCUUUCUUGCAGGAACCCCGAAUGCACAGUUUGCGGAGUUCUGCUUCUAGUUGUACCUCCUUAACCUAUCAAAGAACUUUAUCAAGUCCGCUAUCUGAUCCGAGGCCCUCUUAGAUUUGAUAAUGACGUCUUUCACAUACACUUCUAUUUCUUUGUGUAUCAUAUUAUGGAAGAUGGUUGUCAUGGAUCUCAUGUAGGUAGCCCCAGAAUUCUUUAGACCAAAUGGCAUCAUCUUGUAGUAGUAUACCCCCCCAUGGUGUAAUAAAAACGGUUUUCUCUGCAUCUUCUUCGUCCAUCCAAAUCUGGGCAUAACCUACGAUGAAAUCCACAAAGGAUUGGAGUUCAUGCUUGGCACAAUUGUCGAUCAGGAUGUGUAUGUUUGGUAGUGGAAAGUCAUCCUUGGGACUAGCUCUGUUUAAAUCCUGAUAGUCAACGCAUACUCUGACUUUCCCAUCUUUCUUCGAAACUGGCACAACGUUGGCUAACCAAGUUGGGUACUCAACAACCCUAAGUACUUUGGCUUUGAUCUCCUUAGUAACUUCCUCCUUGAUUUUUAGCUCAUAUCUGGUUUGAAUUUUCAGAGUUUCUGCUUUAUUGGUGGACACAUGAGAUGGGUAGGCAAAUUGUGAGCCACUAUGGACGUGCUCAAACCGGUCAUGUCAUCUUAUGACCAUGCGAAUAUGUCCUCAUAUUUCUUUAAGAAACGAAUGUACUCCUUUUUCUCUAUCGGUGAUAAGUGAAUGCUGAUGCGAGUCUCCUUGACGGUCUCGGCGUCCCCCAAAUUUACUGCUUCGGUUUUGUUUAGGUUGGACUUAGGCUUAUUCUCAAAGUUUUCAACUUCCCUGACAACUUCCUCAAGUAUCUCAUCUUCUUCAUCUGAAUCACUAUCCUCAUGUUGCAUUGCCUCAUUACAUGUCACAGUUGGAAGAAAAUAAUGAAUAAUAAAGAGCAAUGCAUUUGAUUAAAACUGAAACAUCCAAAAAGUACGGCUCGAUGAAUUGAGCAUUUAUUUUGAAAUGAGUAAGUCUUUAAAACAAAAUUACUGAAAAUCUUAAAUGCCUAGAAUGGCUAUAGAAAUAAAUCUACCAAGCCACCUAGGGACUCGGUAGGCCCGGGAUGGUGUGGCGGUCAAUUUGCUGAGCAUGGUUCCCUUCUCCACAAUCUAAAUAGUGAGGCCUUCUUCCUCCUCUUCCUCAACUAUUGCACUGGAGUCCAUGUCUUCAUCCUCCAAGAAUAGAUUCCUAAGCCCAGCUAAUGCUUCUUCUUCUGCGGUUCCCCAUAUUGUAUCAGCUCGGUGAAAAGCUUGAUCCAGAUGUGGCACUGGUUGCUCAAGAGGGUAAUACGGUCUACGCCAUGUAGGCGACCAAUUAUUAUACUCCUUCUAUGAAUACUAGUAUCCGAGACCGAAGGUAGUACCAUAACGCUUCGGCUGUAUUGGUUUAGUAAUACCCUAGAGAUUCUUCCCAAGCCCUUUGAUGGGUUCAUACCCAGACCAUGCCAGUAUGCUUUCUAUUUUGCAACUAUACCAUUUGUCUUUCUUAAUGGCAUUGACAUGUUCAAUGUGAUGAUAGGUUUCCCCUCCUAACCCUAUUCUUUUUCCAACAACCGGGAUGGUUUGACUGGUGUAAAUGGGGUUAAUCCCAUCUCCGUGAAUGAUCACCUACUGAUGGUUCUAUUCGAAUUUCAUGGCUUGAUGUAGUGUGGCAGCCACAGCCCCAGCGACAUGUAUCCAUUGUCGGCCCAACAGAAGAUUGUAUAAGGCUGAUAUGUCGAGCACCUGGAAUUCAAUGUCGAACAAAGUUGGUCCCAUCUGUAGGCAAAGAUUGAUCUCCCUAAUCGUGGCCCUUUGAGACCCAUCGAAAGCUUUCAUGUUCAUGCUCCCUCCUCAUAUUUCAUGAAAACCUUUACCCAAUCUUUUCAGAUUAUCUAACGUACAAAUGUUAAGGCUUGAGACCCCUUCAAUCAAGACCCUGGCGAUGAAUUUAUCUUCAAAUUGCACUGUGAUAUGCAAUGCUUGGUUGUGAUUCAACCCUUCAUGCAGUAGCUCAUCUUCGUGGAAGAUUAUCUUAUGAUAUUCCAGCACAUGUCCUACCAUAUUGGCCAUCUCUCCGCAGGUGAUAUUGUUGGGUACAUAAGCUUCACUCAACACUUUCAUCAAAGCAUUCUUGUGUGCCUCUGAAUUUUGCAACAGUGAUAGGAUGGAUAUCUAAGCUGGGGUUUUGUUUAAAUGAUAAAUGAUGGAGUAUUCCCUUGCUUGUACUUUCCUCUAAAGGUCAUCUGGUCCCAUUUCAAUGACAGGGUGCUUGGUAGUGGCAUCCUUACUUAGUCCUCCCAAAUGUUCGAGUGUAUAGAUUCUUCCUGUCCUAGUCAUUUCUUGUGCAUAAUCGGAUUCCUCCAUCUUUACGCUUCCUUUUAGCCUAGCUUCAAUAAUGUAAUCCCAAGGUGUUGCUUUUGAAUUGAAAGGAGGUGUGGUUGAUACUAUCACCGUGAAAGGUGUGGCCACUUCCACUUCAAAUGGAAUGAGGGUGGUCGCAGGUGGAGCUACCUCAACCUCAAAUGGAUAUGAUGAAGUUAUCUCAACUUCGAUCGGUGACUGGGUCUGCACUACAAUAGGAGUAAGUGUGACUACAAGUUUAAAGUCAUUGCCUUCUUGAAUAAUCCCGAUUGACCCCUUAGGAUCCCAUUUUUCAUCUAUCUCUAUCACAUGUAUCCUGCCACCCCUAUGGUCCGGGAGAGGAUUGUUGCGGAAAUUGGGUGCAAGUUCUUUCGCCUGUAUAACCUUGUUGUCUAUUAAAGUCUGGAUUUUGUCUUUCAAUGUUCGGCACUCGUCAAUGGUGUGCCCUUUCAUACCGGAAUGGUAUGCAUAGGUUUUGUUUGGGUUGAUCCAUUGGGAUGGAUUCUCUAGUUCCACAGCGGGAAUAGGAGUGACGUAACCGGCGGCUUUCAACCUUUCAUACAGCUGGUAGAUGGGUUUAGCAAUAGCGGUGUAUUGUCUAGGUAGCUUGCGGUCAAGAUUGGGUCGUGGUCUUGGAUAAUUUUGGCAAGUUGGAGGUGACUGGAAAUGAGAUGGUUGGGAAUUAUAGGUAUGAUAGGCAGUGGCUGGUUGGGAGUAUCUGGGAGAUGAGGGUUGGUAUGUGGGUGAAGGCGUUUUAUAUGUGGGUGGAGAUGUUUGAUAUGUGAGUGGAGAUUUCGGGCCUUGAGCCACCAUUACUGCCCCAACAUCUCUUUUCUUUGAUAUGCUGCCUGAUUGUAAUGCCUUGUUCGUAGCUUGUAAUGCCUCAAAGUUUGUCACCAUUCCGCUCUUUAUGCCUUCUUCGAUUGUUUCUCCGAGUUUGAUGAUAUCAGAGAAUUUAUGAUUUUCAAUAACCAUCAACCUUUCAUAGUAUUGCGGAUCCUAUGCUCUAACAAAAAAUUUGUUCAUCUGCUCUUCCUCCAAAGAUGGCCUGACUUUGGCUGCUUCCGAUCUCCAAAGAGUAGCAUACUCGCGAAAGUCUCGGUGGGCUUCUUCUUAAGGUUCUGAAAGUAGAAAAAAUCUGGUGCAUUUUCUUUGUUGAACCUGAAUCGAUCCAUGAAAUCAGACGCCAUAUGCACCCAGUUGGACCAUUUCUUAGGAUCCUGACUGAUGUACCUGGACAAAACAUCUCCUAUAAGACUUCUCAUAAAGAGUUUCAUCCGGAUCCUUUCAUCCUUUCCCACCCCAACAAGCUUGUCACAAUAGGUCCUUAGAUGAACCCUGGGAUCACCUGUACCGUCAAACAUCUCGAACUUGGGUGGUUUGUACCCCUCUGGCAGUUCUACGUCUAGCUGUAUGCAUAGGUCUUCAUAAUUUAAACCUUCUAUCCCUUUGCCUCCUUCGAUACCUUAAACUCGACUUGUCAACUUCUUGAGUUCGUCAGCCAUGUUUUUUAUGAGCAGGUCCUUCUCAGCAGAUUCUGGUGUAUAGGAAGUUGGUUGGAUAGAGUAAGGUACGGUUUCUACGUAUAUAGGGUUGUUUUGGUGAGUUCUAGGAGCCUAGGUGUAGUGGUGGUCAUUGGUUAAGUUUUGAGGAUCAGGAAUGAGUUGUGGUGUGUUAUGGGGAGUGUGAUAAGUGGCGGUUGGUGGGUAUUGGAUUGGUUGAUGAUGGUGUUGCGGCGGAGUCGGUAUCGGUAAAGGAUUGAGAUUUUGAGGUGGGGUUGCAUAUUGAUGCGGUGCAGGAGGGUUUUGUGGGUGUUGGUUUGGUGUGUUUUGGGGAGUUGCUGGGUUCUUUAUGUUGAUGUCGGGGAUGUUCAGAGUGAGGCAUAAGUUUGCCAAGUUGCAGACCUGCUCAAGUUCUCCCUGUAGUUCCGGUAUCUUUUGUUCUAACCUCAGAACUAAAUGAUUUGGUGCCGGAGUACUCCAACCAUCUGAAGUUUCUGCAUUCUAAGCAUUCUCCUUUCGAAUACCACUUAAGUCGUCCAUUUUAGCUUUCCCUUUGCUCUUUGUAUUGCUUGGAGGAGGAGAAGGUAGAGGGCCUCUAGAUCUGGUGUGAUACGCUAAUGAUGCCAGUAUGAGCGAACCAACCUUAAGGGAUAGGAAUAAAGAGUGAAGAAAAACAAAAAGGUAAACAAGUCAGUAAGGAUUCUGAAAUGUUUGUAGUAUUUAAACACAUAUUACGGGAAUAUAAAUUUGUGCCCUAUUUUGGGAACCUUGUUGUGCCCGAGGUUGGCCUAGCGACAAAUAAAUUUUGAGAGAGUUAGUGCCAAUAAUUUCCUCAUUUCAUUAAUGUAAAAAUAAACGACUUAAAACAAAACUAAAUAAGAUAAUGUCACUAAUGGCACUAGGCCUUAUUACAUUUGAAAAGCAAGUAAAUCUAAUCUACUUGGUCCUAGAAGGACCCUUUCUAGACUGGAUGCUCUUGUCGAUCAACUCUCCCAGCUCGCACAGUUCAACAGUAGGGAUGCCCUUGCCAUAUGCCCUCUUUCAUUUCUCUCAGCAUUCUGGUAGUCAGUGACCCUUUAUUUAAUCUUCCCUUCCAACUCCAUUAAACUAUACUUUAGAUAUUUCAGCCUGUCACUGGAUUUAGCAGCUCUCUCUGUCCACUAGUUAAUUAUCUCCAUGUCAGCCUUAUGUUGCGCCAUCUGCUUAGCUUCAGACUCUCGAACUCUUUUCCGCAGCUUGUUGUACUUCACCUCUGCUUUAGCAACCUCGUCUAUGACCCGAUUUCCUGGACCAGCCCUAGACUCGAAGACCCCGGCUAUGUUGUCCUCCAACCACGAAGUGUAAAGGUAUGAGUGGCCCGCAUGAUAUCGGUCUGGCUCGAUAGUAUCUUUCUCCACAAUAAUCUUCAAAGUCCACAUAUUUUGUGCUUCAUUCUUACACGGGAUGGCGUCACCUUGUAAAUGUUACAUCUCGUGUUUUCGUACAUUAAAAUUUUGUUUUCAGUAAACCGACGUAGACUCGGGGAUGAGAUCAUCUUGACAUUAAUGUACUUACACUAUUUAUAAGAAGCGAUAAAUAAGUGUUAUGAAGGAUAAAGGGGUACAUGGAUUAAAGAAAACGAGUUUCAUUGAAAGUGGACACUUUCGAAUAAAAUACGAGUCAAGCGAUAAUACCCGAUAAUUAUGAACUAGUACCAUGCAAGGUACCAUAUGACCAUGAUAGUAUAAUGUAUAAAUUAUAUAUAAAGUAUAUUAAAUAUAAGUAGAAUUUUAAGUAAUUUGAGAUAAUUUUUAAAUUAUGCGGGUAAUUAGUUAAUUACCGGGUAACAGGACAUUACCCAGUUAACUAAUAAAUGGGUAAAGAUUACUAAUCUUCACUCCACUCUCCACGAGGCACAAGGCCACCAAUUUAAAAGAUGACUCAUAAAUGGUGAUUAGGUGUCUACACCUAAAGAAUAAAUAAAGUUAGCUUUAUCAAGAUAAGACUCUUAAGUCUUUAUCUCAUUGUAGGAAUUUGAACAAACCCAAAAUGUAAUAUAACAAUUUUUAGCAUCAAACAUCCCAUGAAUCAUCACU
rnacentral:lncRNA from 1 species